rnacentral:rRNA from 1 species
GUGAACGCUGGCGGCGUGCUUAACACAUGCAAGUCGAACGGUAACAGGAAGUAGCUUGCUACUUUGCUGACGAGUGGCGCACGGGUGAGUAAACUAUAGUUAAUGUGCCUCGAAGACUGGGAUAGCCAUUGGAAACGGUGAUUAAUACUAGAUACACCUCUCUAACAUAAGUUAGAGUGGGAAAUGUUUUUUCGCUUCGAGAUCAGACUAUAUCCUAUCAGUUAGUUGGUGAGGUAAAGGCUCACCAAGGCAAUGACGGGUAGCGGGUCUGAGAGGAUGAUCCGCCACACUGGUACUAGGAAACGGACCAGAAUCCUACGGGAGGCAGCAGUGAGGAAUAUUGCACAAUGGGGGAAACCCUGAUGCAGCAACGCCGCGUGGAGGAUGACGCAUUUCGGUGUGUAAACUCCUUUUAUAUGUCAAGAAAAUGACGGUAGCAUAUGAAUAAGCACCGGCUAACUCCGU